rnacentral:rRNA from 1 species
AUUGAACGCUGGCGGAAUGCUUUACACAUGCAAGUCGAGCGGCAGCACGGACUUCGGUCUGGUGGCGAGUGGCGAACGGGUGAGUAAUGUAUCGGAACGUGCCCAGUCGUGGGGGAUAACGUAGUGAAAAUUACGCUAAUACCGCAUACGAUCUAUGGAUGAAAGAGGGGGACCGCAAGACCUCGCGCGAUUAGAGCGGCCGAUAUCAGAUUAGGUAGUUGGUGGGGUAAAGGCCCACCAAGCCAACGAUCUGUAGCUGGUCUGAGAGGACGACCAGCCACACUGGAACUGAGACACGGUCCAGACUCCUACGGGAGGCAGCAGUGGGGAAUUUUGGACAAUGGGCGAAAGCCUGAUCCAGCCAUUCCGCGUGCAGGAUGAAGGCCCUCGGGUUGUAAACUGCUUUUGUACAGAACGAAAAGGUUUCUACUAAUACUAGGAGCUCAUGACGGUACUGUAAGAAUAAGCACCGGCUAACUACGUGCCAGCAGCCGCCGUAA